UUCGGGAUGGUGUAAUCGGUAGCACAGCAGACUCUGACUCUGCUAGUCUAGGUUCGAGUCCUAGUCCCGAAACCA
rnacentral:tRNA from 1 species